UACGUAGGGUGCAAGCGUUGUCCGGAAUUAUUGGGCGUAAAGAGCUCGUAGGCGGUUUGUCGCGUCUGCUGUGAAAUCUGGGGGCUCAACCCCCAGCCUGCAGUGGGUACGGGCAGACUAGAGUGCGGUAGGGGAGAUUGGAAUUCCUGGUGUAGCGGUGGAAUGCGCAGAUAUCGGGAGGAACACCGGUGGCGAAGGCGGUUCUCUGGGCCUUACCUGACGCUGAGGAGCGAAAGCGUGGGGAGCGAACAGG
rnacentral:rRNA from 1 species